rnacentral:rRNA from 1 species
AUUGAACGCUGGCGGCAUGCCUUACACAUGCAAGUCGAACGGCAGCACGGGAGCAAUCCUGGUGGCGAGUGGCGAACGGGUGAGUAAUGUAUCGGAACGUGCCCAGUCGUGGGGGAUAACGUAGCGAAAGCUACGCUAAUACCGCAUACGAUCUAUGGAUGAAAGCGGGGGACCGUAAGGCCUCGCGCGAUUGGAGCGGCCGAUAUCAGAUUAGGUAGUUGGUGGGGUAAAGGCCUACCUAGCCGACGAUCUGUAGCUGGUCUGAGAGGACGACCAGCCACACUGGGACUGAGACACGGCCCAGACUCCUACGGGAGGCAGCAGUGGGGAAUUUUGGACAAUGGGCGCAAGCCUGAUCCAGCAAUGCCGCGUGCAGGAUGAAGGCCUUCGGGUUGUAAACUGCUUUUGUACGGAGCGAAAAGGCUCUCUCUAAUACAGGGGGCUCAUGACGGUACCGUAAGAAUAAGCACCGGCUAACUACGUGCCAGCCGCCGCCGUAAGAC